rnacentral:lncRNA from 1 species
CGAGGGCAACAGGCUGCGAGGCGCGAGGCGCCGCGACGCGUGAGGCGACGCUAUUUUGACAGUGUUAAUUAAAACACAUUUAGCAGGUAGCAGCUUUACAAAAUAACAAAACUAGGGUUUUCUAAACAGAGAAAGGCAAAAGCACUCGACGACCAGCAAAAACACUUGACGACCAGCAAAAACACAGCAGCAAAUCAUCUUCAUCUUCUCUCGAGUCUCGGC